ACACAUGCAAGUCGAACGGUAACAGGAAGCAGCUUGCUGCUUCGCUGACGAGUGGCGGACGGGUGAGUAAUGUCUGGGAAACUGCCUGAUGGAGGGGGGAUAACUACUGGAAACGGUAGCUAAUACCGCAUAACGUCGCAAGACCAAAGAGGGGGGACCUUCGGGCCUCUUGCCAUCGGAUGUGCCCAGAUGGGAUUAGCUAGUAGGUGGGGUAACGGCUCACCUAGGCGACGAUCCCUAGCUGGUCUGAGAGGAUGACCAGCCACACUGGAACUGAGACACGGUCCAGACUCCUACGGGAGGCAGCAGUGGGGAAUAUUGCACAAUGGGCGCAAGCCUGAUGCAGCCAUGCCGCGUGUAUGAAGAAGGCCUUCGGGUUGUAAAGUACUUUCAGCGGGGAGGAAGGCGAUAAGGUUAAUAACCUUGUCGAUUGACGUUACCCGCAGAAGAAGCACCGGCUAACUCCGUGCCAGCAGCCGCGGUAAUACGGAGGGUGCAAGCGUUAAUCGGAAUUACUGGGCGUAAAGCGCACGCAGGCGGUCUGUCAAGUCGGAUGUGAAAUCCCCGGGCUCAACCUGGGAACUGCAUUCGAAACUGGCAGGCUAGAGUCUUGUAGAGGGGGGUAGAAUUCCAGGUGUAGCGGUGAAAUGCGUAGAGAUCUGGAGGAAUACCGGUGGCGAAGGCGGCCCCCUGGACAAAGACUGACGCUCAGGUGCGAAAGCGU
rnacentral:rRNA from 1 species